GCGGCGUGUCUUAGACAUGAAGUCGAACGGGUCUCUAUCCUGUAGCAAUACAGGGUAGAGCUAGUGGCGAACGGGUGAGUAAUACAAAAGUAAUCUACCUCGGAGUGGGGUAUAAUCCCGCGAAAGCGGGACUAAUUCCCCAUAUUCUCCUAAAACGUCGGUUUUAUGAGGAAAGGCUUCGGUCGCUCUGAGAUGAGCUUUUGGCCCAUCAGCUUGUUGGUGAGGUAACGGCCCACCAAGGCGAUGACGGGUAGGGGGUGUGAGAGCAUGUCCCCCCACAUGGGAACUGCGACACGGUCCCAACUCCUACGGGAGGCAGCAGUCUAGAAAUUUGCGCAAUGGGCGAAAGCCUGACGCAGCGACGCCGCGUGAGGGAUGGAGUCCUUCGGGAUGUAAACCUCUGUUGAGGGGGACGAUUAUGACGGUACCCCUCGAGGAAGCCUCGGCUAACUCCGUGCCAGCAGCCGCGGUAAUACGGAGGAGGCAAGCGUUGUCCGGAAUCACUGGGUGUAAAGGGUGUGUAGGUGGCCUGAUGGGUCAGGUGUGAAAUCUGGUUGCUUAACAACCAAACCGCAUUUGAAACUAUCGGGAUCGAGGGCAUGAGAGGAGAGUGGAACUCGCGGUGUAGCGGUAGAAUGCGUGGAUAUCGCGAGGAAUGCCGAUGGCGAAGGCAGCUCUCUGGCCUGGUCCUGACACUGAAACACGAAAGCUGGGGGAGCAAACGGGAUUAGAUACCCCGGUAGUCCCAGCCUUAAACGAUGUACACUUGGCAUAUGCGAUUUCGUAUGUGCCGGAGGUACCCUGUUAAGUGUACCACCUGGGGACUACGCUCGCAAGGGUGAAACUCAAAGGAAUUGACGGGGACCCGCACAAGCGGUGGAGUAUGUGGUUUAAUUCGAGGCAACGCGAAGAACCUUACCUGGGCUUGACAUGCCGAUAGUACUGAGCCGAAAGGCAAGGGAUCCCACCUCGGUGGGAAGUCGGCACAGGUGCUGCAUGGCUGUCGUCAGCUCGUGCCGUGAGGUGUUAGGUUAAGUCCUGCAACGAGCGCAACCCCUGCCAUUAGUUGCCAUUUUGCCGCAAGGUGAAGGCACUCUAAUGGGACUGCCGCAGAUAAUGCGGAGGAAGGUGGGGAUGAUGUCAAGUCCUCAUGGCCUUUAUGUCCAGGGCAACACACGUACUACAGUGCCUAUUACAAUGGGAAGCGAGAUCGCAAGAUGGAGCAAAUCCCACCAAAGAUAGGCAUGGUUCGGAUUGAGGGCUGCAAUUCGCCCUCAUGAAGGCGGAAUCGCUAGUAAUCGCAGAUCAGCAUGCUGCGGUGAAUACGUUCUCGGGUCUUGUACACACCGCCCGUCAAGCCAGGAAGCCCGCAAUACCUGAAGUCCCUUCUUGUAAGGGCCCAAGGUAGGGCUGGU
rnacentral:rRNA from 1 species